rnacentral:tRNA from 1 species
UAGAACGCUUGCAUGGGGUGCAAGAGGUCGCUGGUUCGAGUCCAGUCGCCCCGACCA